UACGAAGGGGGCUAGCGUUGCUCGGAUUGACUGGGCGUAAAGGGCGCGUAGGCGGUUCGUACAGUCAGAUGUGAAAUUCCUGGGCUCAACCUGGGGGCUGCGUUUGAUACGUGCGGGCUUGAGUUCGGAAGAGGGUCGUGGAAUUCCCAGUGUAGAGGUGAAAUUCGUAGAUAUUGGGAAGAACACCGGUGGCGAAGGCGGCGACCUGGUCCGAUACUGACGCUGAGGCGCGAAAGCGUGGGGAGCAAACAGG
rnacentral:rRNA from 1 species